AUUGAACGCUGGCGGAAUGCUUUACACAUGCAAGUCGAACGGCAGCACGGGGCAACCUGGUGGCGAGUGGCGAACGGGUGAGUAAUACAUCGGAACGUGCCCAAUCGUGGGGGAUAACGUAGCGAAAGUUACGCUAAUACCGCAUACGAUCUACGGAUGAAAGCGGGGGAUCGCAAGACCUCGCGCGAAUGGAGCGGCCGAUGUCAGAUUAGGUAGUUGGUGGGGUAAAGGCUCACCAAGCCAACGAUCUGUAGCUGGUCUGAGAGGACGACCAGGCACACUGGGAGUGAGACACGGCCCAGACUGCUGCGGGAGGCAGCAGUGGGGAAUUUUGGACAAUGGGCGCAAGCCUGAGCCAGCCAUUCCGCGUGCAGGAUGAAGGCCUUCGGGUUGUAAACUGCUUUUGUACGGAACGAAAAGGCUCUGGUUAAUAUCUGGGGCUCAUGACGGUACCGUAAGAAUAAGCACCGGCUAACUACGUGCCAGCAGCCGCAGUAAGAC
rnacentral:rRNA from 1 species